rnacentral:misc_RNA from 1 species
GUAAGUUUGUUAAUAGUGUUUUAGAUUUGUGGUGUGAAGAGAAAAAAAGAAAUCAGUACAGCUACAGUUUUAAAAAAUUAUUAUCAUCCGAAGAUGCUAGUAGUCUGGUUUAUAAACAUAGUUGGGAAAUAUAUAUUAUCAAAUGAUUGACUGCAUGAAUUUACAAUGAUAAAUUGCUACUCAAUAAAAAUAAUUCAAAAGAAAUAUAUAAUCCCUAGCUGGUAUUGCCUUCCGUUUUUUUGUCCUAUUGAAUCUCAGUUAAUAAUUUUAUCUUUGUAGAG